rnacentral:rRNA from 1 species
CGGCAUGCCUAACACAUGCAAGUCAAACGGUUUCCGGAAGGGGCAGUGACGGACGGGUGAGUAACAUGUAAGAAUCAACACCUAGGAGAGGGACAACAAGUGGAAACGUUUGCUAAUACCUCGUGAUGCUAUUAAGUUAAAAAUUAAUUUGCCUAGGUAUGAGCUUGCACCUGAUUAGCUAGUUGGUGGGGUAAUGGCUCACCAAGGCUUUGAUCAGUAGCUGGUUUGAGAGGAUGAUCAGCCACACGGGAAUUGAGAACGGGACCGACUCCUACGGGAGGCAGCAGUGAGGAAUUUUCCGCAAUGAGUGAAAGCUUGACGGAGCAAUGCCGCGUGGAGGAAGAAUGCCUUAGGGUUGUAAUCUCCUUUUCUCAUCGAAGAAGUUCUGACGGUAUUUGAGGAAUAAGCAUCGGCUAACUCCGUGCCAGCAGCGUGUGACAAGAGGUGUUUGAAAUCUGUGUAUAGGUUUUAACCAUACCGGUGGGAUAUGUCACCCUCGUAUAUCUAUUUCGUUUAAGAUUGAGUAGUAUCGAGAAAUUAACUUUAUAAAUUAAAUCUCAGGUAGAGAGAUCCUCACCUAACCCAACGAUGUAAAGUUUAAUAAUAAACCGAUGUUGUAAGCUGGGUUAAAGAAACAGGAUGGAAAUCGUACAUUCUCAUAAGGUGAUGUUAUUUGAAUCAGACUAGAAAUUGAUUUUUAUCUAGCGAAUCUACACAUAAAGUACCGAAUCACAAAGUCCGUAGUUACGAUCUAAUCCGCAGGGAAAAUACGGGCGUUAUAAUACGGCGGCACAUCUGCGUCUUUGACAUUACUGCGUGUCAAAACUACUAGCAAGCUGCAGGUACAGAGUAGAGGUCUGACGAGAAGCUAUACUAUAUAAGGUUGGAACUUGGAAAAGCCGAAUUCGUGCUGCAUAAGUGCAGAAUAAUUAUUUAAAGAAUUUGGAAUAAGAUAAGAGAAAAAGCUAAAGCCAAAUGGAAACCUUUGGAUAUGCAGAAAUCUCUUACGGAGGGCCUUAAAAAUAAUAAAACGGGUCUUGGGAAAAGUGAUUACUAGAUUAACAAGAGAAUUUACUUAUAUAUAUAUAUAUAUCCCUGCUCCGAGUAGCCGUAUGAGUAGUGAUGCUCACGUACGGUUUCGAAUGAGAAGCGAUCAGGGCGAUCUGACGUUGACUCUCUAAUCGCGGUAAUACGGGGGAUGCAAGCGUUAUCCGGAAUUAUUGGGCGUAAAGGGUUUGUAGGUGGUCAAGUGUGUUUAAUGUUAAAUAUUAGAGCUUAACUUUAAGGUUGCAUUAAAAACUACUAGACUUGAGUAUGAUAGGGGUAAAGGGAAUUUCCAGUGUAGCGGUGAAAUGCGUAGAUAUUGGAAAGAACACCAACAGCGAAGGCACUUUACUAGGUUAAUACUGACACUGAGAAACGAAAGCUAAGGUAGCAAAAAGGAUUAGAUACCCUCGUAGUCUUAGCUGUAAACGAUGGAUACUAAGUGGUGCUCUUGGUACUACUGUAGCUAACGCGUUAAGUAUCCCGCCUGGGGAGUACGCUUGCAAAAGUGAAACUCAAAGGAAUUGACGGGGACCCGCACAAGCGGUGGAGCAUGUGGUUUAAUUCGAUGCAACGCGAAGCACCUUACCAGGAUUUGACAUGCUAGGAAGUUUUUUGAAAGAAAGAUGUGCCUUUUGGAACCUAGACACAGGUGGUGCAUGGCUGUCGUCAGCUCGUGUCGUGAGAUGUUUGGUUAAGUCCGCCAACGAGCGCAACCCUCUUUUUUAGUUAUUUAGUCUAAAAAGACUGCCGAUUAUAAGUCGGAGGAAGGUGGGGACGAGGUCAAGUCCUCAUGCCCCUUAUAUCCUGGGCUACACACGUGCUACAAUGGUUAAGACAAUGAGUUGCAAGUCUGUGAAGCCAAGCUAAUCUCUUAAACUUAAUCUUAGUUCGGAUUGUAGGCUGAAACUCGCCUACAUGAAGCUGGAAUCGCUAGUAAUCGCUGGUCAGCUAUACAGCGGUGAAUACGUUCUCGGGUCUUGUACACACCGCCCGUCACACCAUGGGAGCUGGCCAUGCCUAAUGUUGUUAUCCUAACUUUAGCAAUAAAGAAGGAAAUACCUAAGGCCGGGUUGGUGACUGGGGUGAAGUCGUAACAAGGUA